rnacentral:sRNA from 1 species
GUCUUUCAGAGAACUCAUUCAGAAACUUUGACAACUUGCAAGAAGCUUUCUGUGCAUGACUGAAGACCCUCACAGCAAACCAAGGACUGGCACAUGUCCCAAAGUCUGGGGAUGAGGAAAUUCUGAUGGGCUGUCAAAGCUUCUUUCUGUUGUGAUUUCCAGAUGGUGGUAGAAGUAAAGAAGCUGAGAAGAGCCAAGAGUGAGCAUUGAAAAGGGAUAUUCAGAGAGCUGCAGACUGGAUGAAACUGGGAAAGACACUGUUCUCACGAAAAGCAAAGCCUUGCUUUGCAUUUAUAAGGAUUUUGGAGAAGAAUUAAAACUUAAAUAGUUAACUGAUGGCAUACUAAUGAUGGAUUGUGGGUAAG